GGGAGCAACGCCCCCUCCACGUCCUCCGCCCCCUGCCCUUCUUUCGUGGCGGGGGCGCUGAUGGGGGAGGGACUGACAGAGGGCGUCAUCUUGUGGGGGGUGGCUGGGUUGUGGGGUCGGAUCUGUAGUAGUAGUAGUAGUAGUAGUAAAGUUGGUGAUAAUAGUAGUAGUAAUAGUAGUAGUGGUGCUAGUAGUAGUAGUAGUAGUAGUAGUAGUGGCAGUA